rnacentral:lncRNA from 1 species
AUUGGACCCGUGGGUAGGGUCCGGGUCCUUCUUAAUGGACCCAAUGAUUUUCGGGUAUGGGUCCGUGUACUAGUGGAUCCGCCCCAUACCCGACCUGAGACCUGAACUUUUCCACCUCUUUAAAAAGCUACCCUUCAUUUUAUAACAAACUCCCUCACAUUACCUUUCUAAAUCUUUGUAUGUCUGACUAAGUUUUGUUGAAAGAGCCUACUAGUCAAGAAACAAUCAAAAGGAAUCUUUUUAAGCAAGGGAAGGGGGUAGGCUGGCAAGCCUGACCUAAAAGUGAGCUCCAACCAUUGGCUAUCGGAUCCACGUGUGCAGCUGCGAUUAGGCUAAGGCAUUGCCUACGUGCAAAAGUGACCCUUUUCCAAGAAGCAUAAAGAGAGGGAGGCUGUUGUCUACUAAGAUUAGUCCCACACCGAUGGGAAUAGAAAGAAAUAAGUAAGUUGAGUUCUAUAAAAGCAGACGUAUUGGGGUGCUUCAAGCAAAGACGCAGCCUAUUUCCAAACUUUUUUAUUGGCUAAUGUCGGGGAUGGGUCCGGGUCUCGGUUCCAAAAGUGCCCAUAGGGUACAGGUACGGGUAUAUUAAAUUUAGACCUGUUGGGUCCUGG